AACGAACGCUGGCGGCAUGCCUAACACAUGCAAGUCGAACGAGACCUUCGGGUCUAGUGGCGCACGGGUGCGUAACGCGUGGGAACCUGCCCUUAGGUUCGGAGUAACUCCCCGAAAGGGGUGCUAAUACCGGAUAAUGUCUUCGGACCAAAGAUUUAUCGCCUUUGGAUGGGCCCGCGUUGGAUUAGCUAGUUGGUAGGGUAAAAGCCUACCAAGGCGACGAUCCAUAGCUGGUCUGAGAGAAUGAUCAGCCACACUGGGACUGAGACACGGCCCAGACUCCUACGGGAGGCAGCAGUGGGGAAUAUUGGACAAUGGGCGAAAGCCUGAUCCAGCAAUGCCGCGUGAGUGAUGAAGGCCUUAGGGUUGUAAAGCUCUUUUACCCGGGAUGAUAAUGACAGUACCGGGAGAAUAAGCUCCGGCUAACUCCGUG
rnacentral:rRNA from 1 species